GACGAACGCUGGCGGCGUGCCUAAUACAUGUAAGUCGAACGCACUCUCGUUUAGAUUGAAGGAGCUUGCUCCUGAUUGAUAAACAUUUGAGUGAGUGGCGGACGGGUGAGUAACACGUGGGUAACCUGCCCUAAAGUGGGGGAUAACAUUUGGAAACAGAUGCUAAUACCGCAUAAAACCUAACACCGCAUGGUGUAGGGUUGAAAGAUGGUUUCGGCUAUCACUUUAGGAUGGACCCGCGGUGCAUUAGUUAGUUGGUGAGGUAAAGGCUCACCAAGACCGUGAUGCAUAGCCGACCUGAGAGGGUAAUCGGCCACACUGGGACUGAGACACGGCCCAGACUCCUACGGGAGGCAGCAGUAGGGAAUAUUCCACAAUGGACGAAAGUCUGAUGGAGCAACGCCGCGUGAGUGAAGAAGGUUUUCGGAUCGUAAACUCUGUUGUUGGAGAAGAAUGUAUCUGAUAGUAACUGAUCAGGUAGUGACGGUAUCCAACCAGAAAGCCACGGCU
rnacentral:rRNA from 1 species